AUUGAACGCUGGCGGCAGGCCUAACACAUGCAAGUCGAGCGGCAGCGGAAAGUAGCUUGCUACUUUGCCGGCGAGCGGCGGACGGGUGAGUAAUGUCUGGGAAACUGCCUGAUGGAGGGGGAUAACUACUGGAAACGGUAGCUAAUACCGCAUGACCUCGAAAGAGCAAAGUGGGGGAUCUUCGGACCUCACGCCAUCGGAUGUGCCCAGAUGGGAUUAGCUAGUAGGUGAGGUAAUGGCUCACCUAGGCGACGAUCCCUAGCUGGUCUGAGAGGAUGACCAGCCACACUGGAGCUGAGACACGGUCCAGACUCCUACGGGAGGCAGCAGUGGGGAAUAUUGCACAAUGGGCGCAAGCCUGAUGCAGCCAUGCCGCGUGUGUGAAGAAGGCCUUAGGGUUGUAAAGCACUUUCAGCGAGGAGGAAGGCACCAUACUUAAUACGUGUGGUGAUUGACGUUACUCGCAGAAGAAGCACCGGCUAACUCCGUGCCAGCAGCCGCGGUAAUACGGAGGGUGCAAGCGUUAAUCGGAAUUACUGGGCGUAAAGCGCACGCAGGCGGUUUGUUAAGUCAGAUGUGAAAUCCCCGCGCUUAACGUGGGAACUGCAUUUGAAACUGGCAAGCUAGAGUCUUGUAGAGGGGGGUAGAAUUCCAGGUGUAGCGGUGAAAUGCGUAGAGAUCUGGAGGAAUACCGGUGGCGAAGGCGGCCCCCUGGACAAAGACUGACGCUCAGGUGCGAAAGCGUGGGGAGCAAACAGG
rnacentral:rRNA from 1 species